rnacentral:rRNA from 1 species
CUUCGGGGUGAGCGGCGGACGGGUUAGUAACGCGUGGGAACGUGCCCUUCUCUAAGGAAUAGCCACUGGAAACGGUGAGUAAUACCUUAUACGCCCUUCGGGGGAAAGAUUUAUCGGAGAAGGAUCGGCCCGCGUUAGAUUAGAUAGUUGGUGGGGUAAUGGCCUACCAAGUCUACGAUCUAUAGCUGGUUUUAGAGGAUGAUCAGCAACACUGGGACUGAGACACGGCCCAGACUCCUACGGGAGGCAGCAGUGGGGAAUCUUGGACAAUGGGCGCAAGCCUGAUCCAGCCAUGCCGCGUGAGUGAUGAAGGCCUUAGGGUCGUAAAGCUCUUUCGCCAGAGAUGAUAAUGACAGUAUCUGGUAAAGAAACCCCGGCUAACUCCGUGCCAGCAGCCGCGGUAAUACGGAGGGGGUUAGCGUUGUUCGGAAUUACUGGGCGUAAAGCGCACGUAGGCGGAUCAGAAAGUAUAGGGUGAAAUCCCAGGGCUCAACCCUGGAACUGCCUUGUAAACUCCUGAUCUUGAGUUC